GUGCCUGUAACUCAAUGGAUAGAGUGCCAAACUACGGAUUUGGUGGUUGAGAGUUCGAAUCUUUCCAGGCAUA
rnacentral:tRNA from 1 species